rnacentral:rRNA from 1 species
UAUUCAGAUUACUACCCUGAACACUCUUGAUCUUGUCAGAUCUCAGAAGCUAAGCAGAGUCAGGCCUGGUUAGUACUUGGAAGGGAGGCCUAUGGUAAUUUAAAAUGGAAUAUAAAUAU